rnacentral:sRNA from 1 species
GAAGGCGGCGCUGAGCCGCUCAGAGCCGAGAGAAGCGGCGCGCCGCCAGGAACCCCAGCGCCAACGCCGCCGCGCCUGCUUCCAGCAGCUCUCGGCCACGCGACCGUGCGGGCAGCGGCGCCUGGAGGGUGGCCGGAGCUGGGCCUGAGCCUGGGGACUCGCCUGAUCCUGGGCGGCCGAACCACCGUCACCACAGCCGCCCCACCCCCGCCGUCGCCUCGUGGGGCCCCGGCCCCCUCCCGGGUCCUUGCUCCAGAUUCCCGAAUUUCCUACCUGGGCUCUGAGUGCCCUUCACUAGCACCUACUGGCCUUCAGCACGAAGGAGGCUCGCAUCACUGCAGGGAAAGGUGAGUGGCUGUAGCCAGGGAAGGAGGGCAUGUAGAGUCUUAAAAUCGAACAAAUAAAACAAAAAACGAACCGGCAGAAUGAAACAUCGUCGGAAGAUUCCAGGACCACGUUGGUAAGGUGACUGUGUUUCUACCUGAAUCCCCUGAAAGUGGACCCCUUCCCUCUGUAGGCCAGAAUCUAAAGUCACCAAGUCAUCCCUCUCAUUCCCAAGAGUGCUGUGGCUUUAGUAAUACACCUGCUGGCUUGUGCUUUGUAAGGCAACCCCGCUGGGUUGGGACCAUCCUCCAUCUCCCCAGGACACUGUCCCCAAGACAGGCAGAGCACACUUGGGUGCCAGAAUGAUUCUGGCCUCCAAAGUGGUUUCUUGGACACCUUUGGCCUGAGCCUGGCUCUCGAGCGGUGGCCAGCAACCUCGACUGGUAAAGGGGCCGCUUGCCUAGGGGUCAGGCUAGCCCACAGUGGGACUCAGGACCUGGUCCUGCGCGCUCGCUCUCGGAAACCGCGUGGUGAGAGCUUAGGCAGAGACUGACUCCCUUGGCGGCCCCGCACGCACCUCCUGUCCCAGGCCUACCCGGGCCUAUGGAAGCUUCCGCGCGAAGCUGGCAGGGAAGGCCCUCAGAGCACGCGUAAACCCGACGCCCGGCGCCGAGAGGAGACCCGAAGGACCAGCCGCGUCCCCUGGGCCUGCGCCAAGGCUUCGGCGGGGAGCGCUGCGGGGCCGGGAGGCCAUUUUGAGAGCGAACGCACGGCGGCAAGAUGGCUGCGUGGGCACGAGGUAGGUCGCAGCGCCGCAGGGUCGGCCGAGCUCCUCCUCGCGCCAGCAGGGCCGCUCAACCCCAUGGAAGCAGCGCGCGCGGAGAGCGCACCCGGCCUAGGGGUCUGGGAAGUCGCCUGCGGCGGGCCGUCGCCAAGUAUUCCAGGACACUGUCCCCGAGGCCACAAUGCCUUUCCCGGCUGUUGAAAAGAAAGCAGCAGAAGAAAGUAGGCCGCUGCUGGCUCCUGAGUCCCUGGCAGCCUUCUCUCCUCAGACAUGGUGGGAUGUACUCUGAUCUAGAGCAGGCAUCUGGCCAGAGACCCACAGGGAGCUCUGUGAUUGGCCUCAGAUGACCUAGAGGACAAAGAGAGGUCAGUGACUCCUGUUGUCUGCGAGUGUGAUGCUGGAGGUGGAGGUGGGACAAAGCCAUCAUGUCUUUGAAGAAAGCUUCUGGCCUCAAGCCAGACUCAGGAUUUUGGAGACUCGAGCCUCUUCUGGACAUGUGCACCUUGACAGUAGUGGCUUCUAAUUGUCCUGUGAAGGGAAAUGAUGGAACAGGCUCUGGUCGGCUUUUCUGGGAACAGACAGAGAAGUGGUAACUCCUGCCAAAGUCACGGGAUGCAUACAAAGCCCAGAACCCGAACAGGAAAAUGCAGCAGGAAAGGACACCGCAGCAGCCACCAUCCUGGGGUGGCUGUGCACGGGGCAGUCCUGCCCCUGGAACUUGGCCAGAGGCCAGGGCAAGUGCCCACCUCCCUUCUAGGGGCCUUUGUCACUGGCCUGCUUGCCCAGGUCUCCUUCAUCUCUGCUGCUGCCACACCUUUCAGGCCUGUUCUGGGUCUGAUGUGAUGCAGAACACUCUGCUCCGUCACUUGGGAAAUGGAAACUUCAUCACCAGCGUUUCCACCCCAAAGAACUAGACAGCACACUGGGAAGUUGCCAAAGGAAGGGACUUCAGCCUCCCAGGAGUUAACAACAUUUCUCCCCAGCUGUCCUCCCCUUGGUGCUCCUUUUCCUCCCUCCUCCUGCUCACAGCAGGCAGGGCCUGGAACCAGGAGCCAUGCUGCUGUGCUGUUGCCAGGGGAGCUGGGAGGCAGAUCAGAGCUAUGCAGGGGAAAGGCUCAGCCUGUCAAAGUGUCUGAGAUGAACCACCGCCAUCCCCGUGCAGCUGGGCUCCAUGUGUCUCAAGGCUCUUGUUCUGUGCCUGAGAACAGGGAAACCCAGCGAGGUUCAAGGGCACACUCGCUAUUCAUCAGUCAGGGGUUCUUGACGGUCCUGCCUCUCCCAGAGAUGGGUUCCCCCCUUCCUCUUUCUCUCCCUCCUGUGACACAAUCCUGGGUGCCUAUGGUGAGGACUGCACACCCCCUCCCUACUGCUCCCCCCAAACCCUGAAUCAACUCUUAUUAAGGAGGCCAGGCAGGACAGAGACAAUGGCUUCAAGAAAUCAUUCAGGCAGGACCCCAGCCACAUUUGCCUGCCCUUCACUCCCAGUGCCCCUGUAGAUCCCACUCUGCAGUGAUUCAGGGCACCCUUGGGCCCCCAGCUUGCAUAUGCUUAGACAGGAGCAGGCCACUAGGUGCUGCCCUACACAACAGGCCAGUGCACUAUUCUCAGUGUUAUUCUUAGUGGCCCCUAGGUCCCUCUGUCCCACUGGCUGCAUAUUUUUGUGCAGUUGGCCGGAAAGUAGAAACUGUACAAUAUUUUCUGAAAUGUGGUAAUAUCAAAAUGUAAAAGACAUAUAUACUUGAUUACUAAUCUCAUCCAGAUACCCUGGAAACGUUUGCUAAGAAGCAUGGACAAAGAGCUGUGGUUGAAGGAAUGAGUCAUUCCUUUCUAUGGAGUACCGCAGAGGCAGCUCGUGCAGGCUGAUAGGGAAGGCUCCAAUAUACUCAAGUGCAGAAUAAAGUACAAAAGGUCAAGUAAAGGACAAACGUGUUCCUGUUUGUAUAUACCUAAAGUCAGUCAGGGACUCGGGAGUGAACGCCAUGGUAAAAUGCACCCAGCAUGCAUACAAGAGGCCGAGAGCCAAGUAAAACUGUGUCAGCCACAAGUACGUCUGUAUGGAUGGCCCUGAAGCAGGCAUUGCACAGCAGCCUCUGGAAGCAGGAGGCAUUUCUUCCUUGUUUUUGUGUUUGUUUUCUCUCUGUGUUUGUGAAAAGGGAAAGGGUAGUUGUCACUUAAUAGGUAUAACUUCUCUCAGCCAAUGAAGGGUGUGCACUCUGAGACAAGGUGGUGAUGUGGCAGAGAAGUGUCUUGACAGUACUGGUGGCUUCUGGCCACUGGCGUUUCUCCAACCACAUGUCAUCAUUAUGGCUGCCACUGUUAAUCAAAAGCCCACUUACUUCCAGGGUUGGUUGUCUGGCUCUUGCUUGGGUGAGUGUCACGUUAUUUCAGUCUAACCUACACAGGAGACUGACUGGGGAAAUCAGUAGGUUUCUCCAAGCGGCUUGGCAAGUGAGGCAGAGUCAGUAUCCUAGAGUGGGUAAGGCAAGUGUGGGCUCUGGUUUCCCUUUGGGAGGACCUGUUUGGAUGAGUGGGGCUUGUGGGCUGUGUUGAUUAUGAGUGGGCACUCCUGCUUUAGCCCAAUGGAGGUGUCCUGCUGGGGACAGGAUGGCCUCAGGAGUAGUGGAUUGGCUCUGAAAGGCUCUAUCUGCAUACACACAGCAGAGAGAUACACUGGACUUUACUGCUCCCAGUGCGAAUCAAAAGCCUGGCUUUGCUCCCACAGGAGUAAAUCGCUACGGGGCAUCCGGAAAGGGCAGCAUGGAGCUGGCAUUGAGUCUUGGAACCAACAUAAGUCCAGGCACAGCAUCCUGUGGAGCUCUGAGUUGGGUCCUGAGGCCUGGGAGCAGGCAAGGAAAGAUCAACAGUAGAGUUGACCAGAGGAAGCUGGGAGAUCCAUGGAGGCCCCUGGACUUGAUGGCAGCUUUGGAAGUCAGGAGGAAAGCAACUAGGGGUGGGGCUGUUGCCAGGUCUCCUGCUUUGGUGCAGUGAGUCUUAGUUUUAUAUGAUGGGAACCACUGGUAAGAUCAUUUUACAAAUGACACCGAAGUUCGGAAAUGUUGCUACAUGUCUCAAGUCACAGCUAAAAAGUUCCAGAACUGAGAUUUAACACCUAUCUCAUUGGUUGCAGUCUGGAUUCCUAGCCCCAAAUGUAUCCUGUUUGGUUGGGCCACUUAAACGAGGUCUCCUAACCCCAACCCCUCCUGCCGGUCCCAUACAUAGAGACAUUAAAUUCUGCCUGCAAGGUUCCCUCAAUACCUUGCCUGGGACCCUCCUUAAUUCCACCGAAUUCCAUCUCUGGGCUACACUAAGCUUUGCAGCCUGGGCCUUGAGAGCUGGAGAAGAAAUUCAAAGCCAUGUACAGACUCCGGGCCUUCAGUUAGCAUUUUUACUUAGCACUACGCUGUUUGCUUCUGGAAGUCUGGCCAUCUGCAUUCUGCAGAUGCUGUCUCUUCCUUCAGGUCCUUGACCUGCAAACCUAUGGGAAGGUCAAGGGUGCUCUAGGGCCUAGCUCCAUGCUUCACAGAGGUCGCCCUGCUGAGGGCUGCAGCAACCCAAGGCUGAGGAUCAGGCCUGGAAGAGCAAAAAGGGACAGCCAGACUUAGAAAUCGUUGGAACUCUUCCUCUGGCUUAUUUCAGGACAACGCUGGGGGAUGAUUAAGACAAAUUCGAGAGAAAGGACUCUUCUGACCCUGGGAAACCUCUGCCUCUUUUACCCCAGCUCACAACUAAUAAAAGUUCGGGAAAAAAAAA